UUGCUUUCAGCAGCACAUACACAGAGAUUGGAAUGAAACUGAGAAGGCACGCACGGUCCCUGCCUGAGCACGAUGUACAAAUCCGUGAGGUGUUCCAUACCUUU